UUCCGGGGCUAAAACGUACUAUCGCAACUACGGCAUCAGGAAUGAUGGGUUGGGGAGCUUCCCAUACGGGUUGAAGCAUGACCGGAAGGACAUGUGGACAGUAUGGGAGUGCGAAUGUUGGCAUGAGUAGCGAGAUGUGGGUGAGACUCCCACAGGCCGUAAACCCAAGGUUUCCAGGGGAAGGUUCGUCCGCCCUGGGUUAGUCGGGACAUAAGCUGAGGCCGAAAGGCGUAGGUGAUGGAAAACAGGUUGAUAUUCCUGUACUACCGAUAACCGUUUGAGAGAUGGGAUGACACAGUAGGAUAAGCUAAGCACACUGUGGGUUAUGUGUGCCCAAGCAUAGAGGCAGUCCAAGUAGGCAAAUCCGCUUAGAUAAACGUGGGAUGUGCUGGGGAACGAAGUUGAUUAGCGAGUUAGUUCAUUUCAAACUGUCAAGACAAGUCACUAUGG
rnacentral:rRNA from 1 species